rnacentral:rRNA from 1 species
UGGGUUAAGUCCCGCAACGAGCGCAACCCCUAUUCUCAGUUGCCAGCACAUAAUGGUGGGCGACUCUGUGGAGACUGCCCGGGUUAACCGGGAGGAAGGUGGGGGAUGACGUCAAGUCAUCAUGGCCCUUACGCCUAGGGCUACACACGUACUACAAUGGUGGGUACAAAGGGCAGCGAAACCGUGAGGUCGAGCGAAUCUCAAAGAACCCAUCAUAGUCCGGAUUGCAGUCUGCAACUCGACUGCAUGAAGUUGGAAUCGCUAGUAAUCCCGGAUCAGCAUGCCGGGGUGAAUACGUUCCCGGGCCUU